rnacentral:rRNA from 1 species
CCUACGGGUGGCAGCAGUGGGGAAUAUUGGACAAUGGGCGAAAGCCUGAUCCAGCCAUGCCGCGUGUGUGAAGAAGGCCUUCGGGUUGUAAAGCACUUUCAGUGGGGAAGAAAGCCUUGGGGCUAAUACCCUCGAGGAAGGACAUCACCCACAGAAGAAGCACCGGCUAACUCCGUGCCAGCAGCCGCGGUAAUACGGAGGGUGCGAGCGUUAAUCGGAAUUACUGGGCGUAAAGCGCGCGUAGGCGGUCUGAUAAGCCGGUUGUGAAAGCCCCGGGCUCAACCUGGGAACGGCAUCCGGAACUGUCAGGCUAGAGUGCAGGAGAGGAAGGUAGAAUUACCGGUGUAGCGGUGAAAUGCGUAGAGAUCGGGAGGAAUACCAGUGGCGAAGGCGGCCUUCUGGACUGACACUGACGCUGAGGUGCGAAAGCGUGGGUAGCAAACAGGAUUAGAUACCCCUGUAGUC